UACGAAGGGGGCUAGCGUUGUUCGGAAUCACUGGGCGUAAAGCGCGUGUAGGCGGCCUGAUCAGUCGGGGGUGAAAGCCUGUGGCUCAACCACAGAAUGGCCUUCGAUACUGUCGGGCUUGAGACCGGAAGAGGUAAGUGGAACUGCGAGUGUAGAGGUGAAAUUCGUAGAUAUUCGCAAGAACACCAGUGGCGAAGGCGGCUUACUGGUCCGGAUCUGACGCUGAGGCGCGAAAGCGUGGGGAGCAAACAGG
rnacentral:rRNA from 1 species